GCCGUCGGUACACCCCCGGAUUGGAAGGCUGCCUGCACCACCUCCUCUCGAAUGAUCGAUCAGUACCAACAAAAAAAUAGCAGUGAAAAACCAUCAGGCCUUGGAGCUUUAUUCUCUCCAAGCGACCAAAGGGCCUUACGCACCUCCUCAAAAGACAUCGGGUGAGUCAAAAUGCCAUUCUCCUGCACAAAGAUGGAGGUCACCUACUGAGCAUCGAAGAUUGGGUGGUCAUCACCAAGCAUCAUCAUCCAC
rnacentral:lncRNA from 1 species